CCUUCUUAUAUGCAGCAUUGGAAUUGACUGAUACAAGGCUAUGGUAUGAAGAUAUCACAUCCGAACCGCGAGGCUUUGCAGAUCGUGUUGGCGUUGUGGGUAUUCAUUUCUGAUUUUAUAUGUGUGUUUCCGCAGGUUUGGUCCGUAUGGUGUGGAUGGCUGGUAUUAAGCUUCGGUUCAGAUGCUUGGAGUUUAGGAAGAGAAACAAGCCCAUGGUUAAACUAGGAUGCCAUUCUUUUCUGGUUGUUGUGUAAAUUAUUUUUGGUGAUGUAAUGUAAAGUUUUUUUUUUUAGAACAGAUUGUGGCUUUGACUCAUGUAGUAGAAUAGGACUUUUUGGAUAUGGUUGGAAAUGUAUAUGGAUAUGAUGUUUGGCAUUGGUGUAUUAAAGGCAUGGCAGGGUAGAGGUUUAGGAAGAGUCUUGAAGAAGUCUUUGUAGGAGUCAGAGGUCAAAGUCCAGGGCCAAAAUCUGGUCAAACUCAGUCAAUGGUCAACAUUCGACAAAAGUCAAUGGUUGACUAAAAAGUCAACCGUGACUAAAAGUUAACCAUAAACUUUUUGUUGUAAUUUUCAUGUGUAAUGUAAUGGAUAUUGAUAUUGAAUGGAACUUGUAAUCAAUAUUGAUCUUGAA